ensembl:lncRNA
UGCACCGCAGCUGCCCAGAAUGAUUUUAUAAACAUUUUGCCAGUGGAUCAAUACCUGUAUUGAUCAACCAUUGUGAGAGUGAUCCGUCUAAAACCCAGAGCAGCCUAGAGCUCAGAGAUGGGAGGAGCGAAAGAGAGAGGCUGCAGAGAGGAUGGAGAAAGAGAGAGUCUGCAGCCACAGUGAAAAGGGAGAAGAGGUACAAGGGAAGAGAAGGGGAUCUGAGAGAGAAGCAGACGCAGAGCUGAAGGCAGGUGGGGAGGCAGAUUUCGGAAAACGCUACCAGGCCAUUGGGAUUGGGGAGAAACUAAUGGUAAUUGCUUUCUCAUUAAGGGGAGGGGGUGACUAAUGACUACAGCGGGAAGAAUAUUUUCUCUUCUUUUCCUCUGGAAAGAAGAAGAAUGGUCUGCACUUUGCCUUGGUGACAACAUGGGAUAAAGAAGACCUAGCACAUCCUGCUGCCAUAAAUUCAGUUGCUAACAGUAAAAUCAAAAGUGAAAUCCAGGAUCUUGUGGAAAGGAAUCAUCUGCAUCCUGGAUACAUACGUCCACAGAGGAAGAAACAGAAACCUUUCUCGUGAAGGGAAAGUUGAAUCAACACUGACCUCAAAAGAUGAAAAUGGCUGGAUGAAGAUGGUGUGGCAAAAGACAGUUUAUUGCUGUUUUCAACUGGUGUGGAUGUAGCUGGCUUUGGAACAUUUUUUAACACUUUGAUAAUUCAUUGGAUUGGAUUUAAUCUUUGCUACAUCUAAAAUUUUGUGGGAAUUCUCCUGAAUGGAUGAGUUGCUGGACCACUCAAGGCCACCAACUACACUACAGCAAAGGAGGAGUCAAAGGGCUUUUGGGAUCUUCUCUCAGUGCUAAAAGGGAAACUAAUUUCCAUUGAUUGAUUUUAAAUGUGACUUUCUUGUACAUAAUUGUGAACUUAAGGGGAGAUAAAUCCCUCAGACAAGCUGUGAUGGAAGACCUCAAUGGUCAUGAACUCACUUUGCACUGGAGCUCUGGUGUGGAAACACUUAGAGAGAAAGGCCUACACUCAACAGGUUCAUUCCUGGGUGAACAAGCAGUUGGGGGAAAUAAUGAAUGUGCUGUGCCAAGGACAAGAGGCACCAACAAACAAUUUUGUUAAUAAAUUGUGAAAAAAAAAAUAAAAAUUAUUGUGCGGUGCACAAUGCAAAUCCAAGUGUGCGGCAGUACUUACCCUUGGCUGUGUCGCAGUUCCACACUUCACAUUACUAUAGUAAGACUGCAGUGUACAUAUAAUGGUAUGAUCCUUUGACACUUAAGUGGUAAGCAAGGAAUUCAUACAGGAUGGUGGCUAACAGAGUUCAAUUAAAAUCUAACAUUUUGUAAUUCGGAGCAAAAAGAAACGUAAAGGUUUUCCUAUCAAUGUGUACAUAUGUAAUAUAUGAAUGUAUGUUCUCACAGUUUUGUAAAUGUGAAUAGACUAUACUUCUACUUAUCCAUACAAUGUGAAUGGAUGACUACACACUGUGGAAUUGGGUUGCAGCUUUUGAUUCAGAGUCAGGGCUUGGAACUGAACUGUAAGACAAAUGUAGCGCAGAUGAGGUUAAAGUAUUGGCAACCAAGAGACUCAGCUGGUGUUUCAGUGGAGAGAGCAAAAUCAACAACACAGUACAAGGCUGUUUGCACCAAAGUUGUUCAAUGUACACAAUGCACACAUUAUGUGUUCAGUGCAGCAACAGAAAACAUUUUUAUUUACUAUUACUGGCUGGUGAACUACAUUGAAUUUAUCACUUGUAUAAACCUUGUUUUUUUUCUGCUCAGCUGUGAAAAGAGUUUCACAGACAAGACAAAAACACGUGAAAAGCCAGCGGUCACAGGUCUGACAUGUAG